CAUCGGAAGUUAAGACCAGGUUCAGCCUUUGUUCUCCCUCUUACGUCUGGGUUUCACAAGAGAAGGUCACGGUUGGCUUGUGGGUUAUCUUUCAUUUAUUUGGCGUGGGCUUCGGCCAAACAGUAGCCUGUGUAAAGUUAGGUUAAUAAACCGUCAAUUCGUAAACUCAAACCUCCGUCUGGACAAUUGUUCCUUUAAGAUCUAGUCAGGUCAUUACAUUGGUGUCAGAAGUAAAAACGUUGAUAAAAGUUAGCCAGCUAGCUAGCUGACUUCUGUGGCUAGCUACCGUAGGUGAGAACGGGGUUGAAAAUGCUUCGAGGGAAUCCGAAAGUGAAGGUGGAGGUAGGGGACGAUUAUGGCCAAGGGGGGGGGUGAAUGGACGUCGGAGGGUCUGGCUGAGGAGAUCGCCAAGGAGUCGGAGCCCAGAGGCCGCUUGAGGGAGGACAUUAGAGUGAUGGCGGCUGAAGCGGGCACGAGCGCUUCGUCGACUGUGCUUCGCGCCGAUUCUGGUGGGCGGACCGAAGGGGUGACGUCGACGCGGCGGGACUAGGAAUCUGGGGCUCAGGAUGUAAACAAACAUGGCGGCGCCCAGUUCCCGGCUGCGUCCGUAGCUGUUAAGACCCCGAAGUAUUCCGGUGAGGCGGAUUGGGAAGCUUUUCAUGCUCAGUUUGAACUGUUAACUCAUUUUAGUGGCUACUGGCAGGUGCCCCUCUCCCCAGAGGCCAGAGACAAAACUGUUCUCCACUAACAGAGGACACUGGCAGUUCAAGGUCCUGUGUUUUGGCCUGUGCAACGCUCCAGCUACUUUUGAGCGUUUGAUGGACAGGGUGCUGGAUGGCAUCCCCGACAGCAGUGUCUGGUAUACGGUAUGAGUAAUUUAGGAGGGCAACUUUAUAAAGGCCUCCUCACAAUGGCCUUAUCAUACAAGGCUCUAUAGACAGAUUUAAAAAUACAUAGGCUAUUUUUGCGUUGAUGAUGUCUGUAUUGAAGUCAAGUGGUUCAACAUUCAAGUGUAUUUUAUUGACAACAUAGAACUGCUUGUACAAGGCGACGGUCGGUGGAAGUCUGGCGCCACCAAGUGGACAAUUUGUUUUGUUCCCUUGUGGCAUCAACGCUUCCUGAGAUAUUUUAUAAAAGAUAAAAUGUUAUGUCAAUAUUAUUAUCUGCAAAUUGUUUCUCCCACCCGUAUUUGAUAGAUUAUUAUUCCAAUUUAGCUGUAAAUCUGGUUUUAACUCAAUAAGGAUCUGUCUAGUUUCCGAUUGGAGGGCGGAUGACCGCGUGACUUUGUAUCCUACCAAUGUGUUACAUUGUAUCAGUGAAAAGUGUCUUUUCCCGACGUUGAUCAAAUCCCGAUCUAUGCCACCAUUUUUUAACAGCAUCAUAAUCUUUGAUAUUUGAUGUAAAGUUUACAGAGCUCAUUUUGCUGUAAGCGUUUCCGGAUUUGACGUGUCUGAGAACGGCACCUUCCUCCCGAAAGCAUUGCGGUAUCGCUUCUCGGCCUUUUGGCUAAGAUCAAGUGUAGUAUCUGUUCUUAUCAGUUUAAUAUCUGAUACGUCCCCUAUCUGGGGACCAUAUAUUAAAUUGAUUUUUGGAAUAGGGAGAUGGAAUAGGGGCUUGCUCCGUCCACUCCACGCAUCGACCUGGUAUUGCAGUACCUCCAGGAACGGUGCACC